rnacentral:rRNA from 1 species
UAGGGAAUCUUCCGCAAUGGACGCAAGUCUGACGGAGCAACGCCGCGUGAGUGAAGAAGGAUUUCGGUUCGUAAAACUCUGUUGUUAGAGAAGAACAGCGCAUAGAGUAACUGUUAUGCGUGUGACGGUAUCUAACCAGAAAGCCACGGCUAACUACGUGCCAGCAGCCGCGGUAAUACGUAGGUGGCAAGCGUUGUCCGGAUUUAUUGGGCGUAAAGCGAGCGCAGGCGGUCAAUUAAGUCUGAUGUGAAAGCCCCCGGCUCAACCGGGGAGGGUCAUUGGAAACUGGUUGACUUGAGUGCAGAAGGGGAGAGUGGAAUUCCAUAUGUAGCGGUGAAAUGCGUAGAUAUAUGGAGGAACACCGGUGGCGAAAGCGGCUCUCUGGUCUGUAACUGACGCUGAGGCUCGAAAGCGUGGGGAGCGAACAGG